rnacentral:lncRNA from 1 species
CUCUUGUUUAAAUAGACUUUCAGUGUUUGUUGUUGAAAGUUUGGAAAGUGCAUCUGAAAAUCACAAUAUUUCUUUCAAUGUUGAUUCUGGAUUUAAUUCGAGUCUUGAAAUAUUGAAUCUUAGAAAAAGCAAUUAGUGAUCAAUUGAAGAAUACAAUACUUUUAAAAUUAGCACUGUUAGAACUGCCUCGCUGUUUAAUAGUCCUGUCUUAUUUAUCCCAGCACACUCUUAAUACAUGAGUUUGAUUAUUCCUGGACACAAAUAAAAUGGAUUUGUUAAGGAACAAGGCAGUUCUAUACAGUACUGACUUAUAGGAGGGUUGUGUUCUUCAGUUGUUUUUUAUUCUUGUGCCAACUGAAUUUUGGAACAGGCUUUGUGAUUUUUAAAAACAUUUUCCCAACUUUAUAACAAACAGUUAAGGUCAAAAUGGGCUAGGAUUGCCUUUACUUCAUUACAAAGUGGAACUUAUUUGAAUGUGGAUGAACUGAAGCAGCAAACUAUACUUAGUUUUUUUUUUUGGGGGGGGGGGGGGGGGNNNNNNNNNNNNNNNNNNNNGGGGGUUAAUGUGAGAUGGAGAAAAUAAAAGAAAAUUGAUUGUCAUACAUGGCAAGGAAAACCACAACCAGACUACAGAAUGAUGUUCUAGGUUUAGGUUUUAGGUUUAUUAAUAAAAAUUGCAUUGCAACCAAGGGUUGAAUCACAUAAUUUACACUAACUAUCAAUUACUACU